rnacentral:rRNA from 1 species
UACGGAGGGUGCAAGCGUUAAUCGGAAUUACUGGGCGUAAAGCGUGCGCAGGCGGUUUUUUAAGUCUGCUGUGAAAUCCCCGAGCUCAACUUGGGAAUUGCAGUGGAUACUGGCAGGCUGGAGUAUGGUAGAGGAAGGUGGAAUUCCCGGUGUAGCAGUGAAAUGCGUAGAGAUCGGGAGGAACACCAGUGGCGAAGGCGGCCUUCUGGACCAAUACUGACGCUCAUGCACGAAAGCGUGGGGAGCAAACAGG